rnacentral:rRNA from 1 species
GGGGAAUUUUCCGCAAUGGGCGAAAGCCUGACGGAGCAAUACCGCGUGAGGGAUGACGGCCUAUGGGUUGUAAACCUCUUUUUUCAGGGAGGAAUCAAUGACGUGUACCUGAAGAAUAAGCAUCGGCUAACUCCGUGCCAGCAGCCGCGGUAAGACGGAGGAUGCAAGUGUUAUCCGGAAUCACUGGGCGUAAAGCGUCUGUAGGUGGUCCAAUAAGUCAACUGUUAAAUCUUGAGGCUCAACCUCAAAAUCGCAGUCGAAACUAUUAGACUNGAGUAUAGUAGGGGUAAAGGGAAUUUCCAGUGGAGCGGUGAAAUGCGUAGAGAUUGGAAAGAACACCGAUGGCGAAGGCACUUUACUGGGCUAUUACUAACACUGAGAGACGAAAGCUAGGGUAGCAAAUGGGAUUAGAUACCCCAGUAGUC